rnacentral:lncRNA from 1 species
UUAGCCCAUACGUGCUGCCACAGUCAACUGCUCCACCCAUUGGGAAUCUAAAUGAGCCUCUCGGUAACCUGAACAAGGUAGCCCUGGUGCACUGCUGCGGCCAAUUGCUUCAUCUGUUGGGAGCUGAGCAAACAGCUCAGGGAGCAUGAGACUCCGGACUAGCUCACCAAAUAUUGUAACCAAACUCAGGUUCGGGACACUUGACACCUGAACAACCAAUGCUCAAGAGACAAGUGUUGGUAAGAAGGAAAGUUAGCUUUAUUAGGGAAGCAGGCAAGUUGGGAAAUUAGUGACCUUGUUUCAAGACUACCUCUCUGAAUUGUAGCUCUGGACCAAGAGUUUUUACGGGAAAUCAGGAUAAGUGUAAGUCAUAAUCAGAGUGUCCUUGUGGAGGAGCUACGUGUGCAAUCUCAGGCAGGCAGUCAGUCCUUGCUGUCUUGGUCUAUGUCUUGGGACCUUUGCUGGCAUUGUUAGGCUGUUUUUAUCUAGUUGUGGCUAAAACUGCUGGUCAGUCUGUUGCCGGAAUUUCUGGGAUUCAAAAUGGAGUCAGUGCUGUUACAAUAAGAUCUUCUACUCAAUAAAGAAGCAAAAGUACUCACAGCAGAGUGGGAUUGCUGUGAGAAGGAGCCAUGUAAGUAACAACUGGCUGGCAGUGGAUAGAGGAAGAAAAAACAUCAUCAAGUUGUUGUGAUAGGAGUGGAUGAAUAGUGACCAACAUGACACCUGGAAAUCAGUAUCUAUGGAAUCCUGUAGAAGAUACCUGAAAUAUGCUUACAUUCACAAACCAGUACAACCUAAACUUGCUGGUCAGUAUCAUGUGGUCAAAGGAUCUGUCACUGGCAAUAUGCGGUACAUGAUCAAAGUUUACUUCUGCUGCAAAGAAUUGAAGAACGGUACUGUAAUUUUAAUUGAUGUAUGGCAUGUAAAACAUUGCUUUGCUUUCUGCUACAUGUGUGUUAUAACCAAAAGGUUAUAAUUUUAUUGUCAAAAUUAAAUGUAAUUCAGACUUAUGUACAGCAUGAACCAUAGAAUGAGUGAAUAUUUCUGGAAGCUUAUUUAAAGCCUCUAAUUAAUGUAAUACUUAUGAAGAGUUACUGGCUAGAAAAAGACAUUUGGCUUUUAAAAUACCACAUGCCCUAUUAUAAUCUUACAAAUAUUCAAAUGCCUAUGAAUAAAAACAAAAAAAAUUGAGCUAGAAAUACACAAUUAAAAGGCCUUAGAAGGAACACAGUUAUUAAUAAAAAUAUUACAGCAAUAACUCCUGAACCCCAUUUUAUGUUUCAAGUCCAGAUGGUCAUUGAGGUGUGAAGUAUCUUUUUUUGAAUAAAAUUUUGAGGAAAUUUUAAGACACAUUAAAAACACAACCAAGACAUAUGUGUCAAAGAGAUACUGACAGAGCUUAGAAAGUGUCUCCAGAAGAAAAGAGUUAUCCAGAGACCUAUAAUCCAUUCCGAUCAAAUCUCCUGAAAGAUAUGCUAGUAAAAGAGAUUUAAUAAAUAUACUAUUUACUAAUAGAAUGUAGAUUAUUUGACUAGAAGUUCUUAUGACAAACUUGUAAUCCAUAGAUUUUGGAGACAAGGGAAUAUAGCUUCCUGUAACAUGUCAUGAAAGCUUUGGUAUGUAAAAUAAGCUUUUUUCUUGAUGAAAAUGGCUUUCUUUUAUGUAAACAAUAAUAACAUCUAGCACUUAGGAAACUCAUAUAUCAUAUACAGCUGGACAUCACUGUUUCCUAAUGAGGCUGGAAGGAAAAUAGGAAAAAAUAUCUGUAGCUCUAGACUUGCCAUUUCACCUGUGCUUCACAACUACUUCUACUUUGAAAGUAAUAUUAAAGUUUGAUAUUGGGUAAGAUCUGAGAUUCCUGUAUCUGACUUGAUGAUAUGAUAUUUUCUGUUAUCUCAAUAUACAUACAUCUCAAUGUAUAAUUUUUUGAAAGGCAUACACGUUACCUGAAUGAUACAAGUUUCCAUUGGAGUUUUGUUUCAUUGUGUUUUGUUUUUUAUCAAGGGAAAAUAAAGAGGGAGAAAUAAACUGUCAUUACUCAAGGAGAGCAUGCACAAUACAACUUUCCAGCUCUAAUUCCAAAGUUUGAUUUCUCUUAUUUGAAGCUCGUGAUAUUUUGUUUGCUCAAAAAUGGGAAGGAUGGGGUGGUUAACAGACUUCUUGUUGGAAUUAUUUAACAGACUUAUGUAAUUUCCUGAGUCUGUUUUCUUUUCCAUGUUUCAAUUGUGUGAUGGGAAAGUGAGUCAUUUUUCUAAGGACUAAAAUACAAUAUAAGAAUAAACUUUAUAAACCCAAAGAGUUUGAAGACAAGAAUAUCUGACCAAAAAUAGACACAUUUCCCCUUCAUUGUUGUCAUCUGCAAACACCCAAGACAUUUUUCUACUUAUGAGGUUCUUGAGUCUUGGUUCACACUAUUUCUUUCUAUCCCUUUUCCUCCAUGAGAUCCAUAUCCAUAUGGAAAAUUUGCCCAUAAUUCUGGUCUCCAAAUUUGUGUAGCCCAUCAACAAAAUUAUACUUUAUUUUCCACCUUUAUCCCCCAAUCUCAUAGACAAACUUUUCAACCUGUCAGUAUAAUAAAUAGCAUAAUUUCUGAAAUAUCUAAUUCAAGUAUCCUGUGAUUUGAAACACCCUCCUAUAUUUCUUGUUCACUUAAGUGGUAACACUUUCAAAAUCUCUAUCAUUCCAAGACACUAAAAGUUUUAAAAGAAAAUGGUGCUUUCAUAGAUUUGGUGCUAAAACUCACUUUGUGGUAAAACCUGACAUGAUUGACUUCAUUCAUCACGUUUUUAUGGUCAUUAUUUUUCUUAUUUGAUGUGACUAUGCAUUUGUUCAGAGCAGAAAAAGAAUCAUAUUUAAUUAGCAGGUUCUUCUCCAAUCCUUCUUGGAGAUGUUCCAUAAAAAACUUAAUUAUUUAAGUCUAAAUCAUGCUGAAUUAUGAAACAAAUUUGGUUCCAAGGAUUUCAGACAAGUGAUUGUAUACCAGGAAUACAAUAUUUAUUUGAACUCGCCAAGACUUAAAAUCCUGCGUUCAGCUACUUUUUAUCUUAUUAUCACCAUACAUCAUCUUUCAUGCCUCCUGUUUAGAAUAACAAGUCCAUCAUUACAAGAAAAAGUUGCAAACACAAGGAAUGUUUUCUUCUCUUAUUAACAAAACAAAACAGAUAACUUGUCUGUGUUUUUCCUGGGUGCAUCUCUGCAGUUGAAAUAUCAUGACCACCAGUCCUCUUUAAAUUCAUCUCAAGAGAGGAAACCACAGACACUCAGCUUGCCUUCUAGCAAUGGUAAAUUCCUUAAGCUAAGUGUUUCCUAAUUGCUUUAUUCUCCUUUGAACUCACUCAGUUUCUCUCCUGUUGCUCAUGAUGGAUAAUCAGAUGUGCUUACCUCCACCGAUUUAUUAUCCAGCCAAUUGAAAGGCUCAAAUAGAAAAUGUCAUGCUUCUCCCCGACCAAACCAUGAAUUUUGUCUUCAGUUCCUCACUCUCAUUCAAUUUCAAUUUUUUAACAAUGCAUAAUAACCUGAAAUUCUCCUACUUACUUGUUAAUUUGACUGUUGUCUGUCUUCAUUACAGCUGGAUUAGAAACUACAAUAAAGAAAAAAAAAAAAAAAGUUUCAGCCUUAUUCCUUCUGAAGUUUCCAGGUCUAGAAUAGUUCUUGUAACAGAGUAGGUGCUUAAUUUAAUAAUAUAAUUUAACCUUAAAAUCCUGUUUUAUUACAAUCUACUUAAAGUGGACUCCUAGUUGUGGGUGAAUGAGUCUAAUUUAAAAUAAAGAGAUAAAGUUUCUUUUUUUUUUUCUGUGCCAACAAUCUUAAAAUACAAAUUUAAAACUGUGCCUUCAGUUUUGCUUCUCCUUAAAUACAAAAUUGGCGCUUGAUAAAAUAAGUUAUAUUUACUUUUCUUGGAAGCAUUUCCGUUUGAAUUAUGUUGAAUUACCUGAAUCAACAGAGCAUUUUCAAGAUAUAAAAAUUUUAAAAAAUUAGAUGUAUUUCUCAUUGCCAGAUUAAAAUUCUCUUUAUUACUUUAACACUUUAUGAGCUUGUCAGGUAUAGAAUUUGGUUCUAUCUGAUCUGAAAGUUAAUUACUGUUUAUGUGAGAAAGUUGAUUCACCUAAUAUUUCUUUGCACAAAUUUGCUAGUUUUAGAUUCGAGACUUCAAGUGUAAAAAUAAAGUCGUUAAGUACAUUAAGGACAAUAUGUUUUUCAAGGGUCCUUCCAGAUGCUUGUUUUUGUGAUUAUAUUCGUUAAAGAAGAAAGGAAAGAAACAAGAGAAGAAGAAAAAAAUGAGAAGAAAGAGGAGAAAGAAAAGAAGAGUGAGCAGGAGGAAAGACGAAGUAGGUGCUAGAGAAACUAAAGGUGCAUAGUCUCCAGCAUUAGCUUGUGUACUGUAACACCACAAUCAUGAAGUUUUAUCUCAUAGCCUCUUUAUAUACUGCUGUUGGAAUAUAUGAGCCUUUAAACACAUUUUAGAAGGUUUUGUUAGCUCCCUAGAUGCUGAAUUAAGGGCCGGCACAAUUUUGCAUUGCAUAAAACUGCCACCCAGGGCUCCAGAUCCUUCUUUUAGUGUCCUUUUCCUCAGUCAGUGUCUCACAUUUCCUGCUUAUUCCCUCUCUCCCAGUACUUGACUGUGCUUAUUACUGAUUCACACUUUAGAUUCAAAGUGGUUUUUUUUCCCAUUCUCUUAACAAAACUGUGCUUUUCUCAAUAACUGUAAGCCUUAUACUAAGAUAAAGCCUCGGAGUAAAGUUGUUCUAAUUUCUUUGACCAAGCCUGGGGAAAUGGAAGGAGAAAAUAGAAAAUUCAAAAGUUGCUCCCCCCCACCGCCCGAUAUAACCAGUUUCUUGACCAAAAAAAUAGCAAGGUUGGGAAUUCAUAUUUUUGCAUAAGAAGCUAUCAUGCAAUCAGGGAUCAUAUAGAAAGUAAGCCGUUACAACACAGAAUCGUAUCUAUUUCUUGGAACAAGAAAUAGAAGAAACUGUAAAAGGGCACUGCAGAUGGUCCCUUGUCAAUUUCUAGCUACCAACAACCACGGCAGCAAUUAUAACAUUUAAAAUAGUGAUUCCUUAUAAUUUACUCUAUCAUAGUAGUCUCCCCUGGAAGCAC